rnacentral:rRNA from 1 species
GAUGAACGCUGGCGGCGUGCUUAACACAUGCAAGUCGAGCGAGUGAGUUCUUCGGAACGAUCUAGCGGCGGACGGGUGAGUAACACGUGGGCAACCUGCCUCAUAGAGGGGAAGAGCCUUCCGAAAGGGAGAUUACUACCGCAUAACAUCGUUGACGGGCAUCCUUCGAUGAUCCAAGGAGCAAUCCGCUAUGAGAUGGGCCCGCGGCGCAUUAGCUAGUUGGGGAGGUAACGGCUCACCAAGGCGACUAUGCGCGACCGACCUGCGAGGGUGGUCGGCCACACUGGGACUGAGACACGGACCAAACUGCUGCGGGAGGCAGCAGUAAGGAAUCUUCGGCAAUGGACGAAAGUCUGACCGGGCAACGCCGCGUGAGUGAAGAAGGUUUUCGGAUCGUUAAACUCUGUUGGUAAAGAAGAACAAGGGUGAGAGUAAAAAGUUCACCCCUUGACGGUAUUUACCCAGAAAGCCACGGCUAACUACGUGCCAGCCGCCGCCGUAA